CCUACGGGCUGCAGCAGUGGGGAAUAUUGGACAAUGGGCGAAAGCCUGAUCCAGCCAUGCCGCGUGUGUGAAGAAGGCCUUCGGGUUGUAAAGCACUUUCAGUGGGGAAGAAAGCCUUGGGGCUAAUACCCUCGAGGAAGGACAUCACCCACAGAAGAAGCACCGGCUAACUCCGUGCCAGCAGCCGCGGUAAUACGGAGGGUGCGAGCGUUAAUCGGAAUUACUGGGCGUAAGGCGCGCGUAGGCGGUCUGAUAAGCCGGUUGUGAAAGCCCCGGGCUCAACCUGGGAACGGCAUCCGGAACUGUCAGGCUGGAGUGCAGGAGAGGAAGGUAGAAUUCCCGGUGUAGCGGUGAAAUGCGUAGAGAUCGGGAGGAAUACCAGUGGCGAAGGCGGCCUUCUGGACUGACACUGACGCUGAGGUGCGAAAGCGUGGGUAGCAAACAGGAUUAGAUACCCUUGUAGUC
rnacentral:rRNA from 1 species